rnacentral:rRNA from 1 species
AGCUCCAAUAGCGUAUAUUAAAGUUGUUGCAGUUAAAAAGCUCGUAGUUGGAGUUCGGGGAAAGCUCAGUCGGUCGGCCUAAUGGGUCAGAACUGGCUGACUCUCUCUUGUUUGCGGAUCCCUCCCGGAGUUAACUCUUCAGGUUGUGGAGUCCGCAUCGUUUACCUUGAAAAAAUUAGAGUGUUCAAAGCAGGCGUUUGCUUGAAUAUAUUAGCAUGGAAUAAUGGAAUAGGACCCUGGUUCUAUUUUGUUGGUUUUGAGAGCCAGAGUAAUGAUUAAUAGGGAUAGUUGGGGGCAUUCAUAUUUCAUUGUCAGAGGUGAAAUUCUUGGAUUUAUGAAAGAUGAACUUCUGCGAAAGCAUUUGCCAAGGAUGUUUUCA